rnacentral:piRNA from 2 species
UGCUGAGCAUCGAAGCUAGGAUAAGCCA